GCAGGUAGCGCUUCUUGGCCAAGUUCGUCAUGCCAGUCGAUUCACUAAUUGUUCUCAGGCACCGUGGCUUCCACCACGACGCGCCGGCGCCCCAGCGCUGGUCGUGGGACAUCAUCGCCGCCGGUCUGCUCUCGGUGAUGUUGCUCAGCCUGCUGCUCUACCACCUCGUCUCCGGCGACACAAAGCGGCCGCCCAGCAUUCCUAUCCCUGAGACCUCUA